rnacentral:tRNA from 1 species
GGGGAUGUGGCGGAACUGGUAGACGCGCACGUUUGAGGGGCGUGUGGGGCAACCCGUGUCAGUUCGAUUCUGACCAUCCCCA